GUGUCAGCCGCCGCGGUAAUACGGAGGGGGUUAGCGUUGUUCGGAAUUACUGGGCGUAAAGCGCACGUAGGCGGAUCAGAAAGUUGGGGGUGAAAUCCCGGGGCUCAACCCCGGAACUGCCUCCAAAACUCCUGGUCUUGAGUUCGAGAGAGGUGAGUGGAAUUGCGAGUGUAGAGGUGAAAUUCGUAGAUAUUCGCAGGAACACCAGUGGCGAAGGCGGCUCACUGGCUCGAUACUGACGCUGAGGUGCGAAAGUGUGGGGAGCAAACAGGAUUAGAUACCCUGGUAGUCCACACCGUAAACGAUGAAUGCCAGUCGUCGGCAAGCAUGCUUGUCGGUGACACACCUAACGGAUUAAGCAUUCCGCCUGGGGAGUACGGUCGCAAGAUUAAAACUCAAAUGAAUUGACGGGG
rnacentral:rRNA from 1 species